AGGGGAAUAGUUCAGUUGGUCAGAACACGGGAUUCUGGUUCCCGGUGUCGAGGGUUCGAAUCCUUCUUCCCCUGCCA
rnacentral:tRNA from 1 species